rnacentral:rRNA from 1 species
UACGUAGGGGGCAAGCGUUGUCCGGAAUUACUGGGCGUAAAGCGUGCGUAGGUGGUUCGUUAAGUCUGAUGUGAAAGCCCUGGGCUCAACCUGGGAAUGGCAUUGGAAACUGGCGACCUAGAGUGCGGUAGAGGGUAGUGGAAUUCCCGGUGUAGCAGUGAAAUGCGUAGAGAUCGGGAGGAACAUCCGUGGCGAAGGCGACUACCUGGACCAGCACUGACACUGAGGCACGAAAGCGUGGGGAGCAAACAGG